AAAAUCCGUCGAAUUUGAAUCCUGAGGGUCAAUCCCCA
rnacentral:tRNA from 1 species